rnacentral:lncRNA from 1 species
AAUGAUGUGUGGCUUAUCACGCGCCUUGCCCUUUAUGCCUUGAUCCUUCUAACAACCCUAUGACACAGAAGGGACAGGCCCAGUAGCUCUCCCUGUAUAGACAGUGACCAGGGUCCUGCCCACUCCUGUCCCCUUCCUUCGGGCUCAGUGCGAGGAACGGAGCUGACCCAGAGCAUUCGGAGAAGAGAAAUCCAUGCAGCUGGCCAUAGUGAUAAAGCGUUUUAAUGUACGGACUGGGAACAGAUCCUGAGGUGCCGCUAGCUGAGCAGGUGGGCCAGGGCGGGUACAGGAGUCUUGAUCCUGCCCCAAGCAGCAUCACUCAUUCCAGGAAGCUGGGGAACCUAAGCUCACUAAAGAAGAGAAACGUUCUGACCGGGUGACUAAGACGACCUAAAGGACGGCAGUAGCUGGGCCCAGCCUCUCCGUUGCUAUGACAACCACAGUUUGCCGGCUGGGCCCUUGCAGGGUUGGCUGACGCGUGAUUCUUACCUCGAGAUCUGGGAGACACUUAAGGGACAGGGUGUGUGUGAGCGCGGUCAGGGUAAAGACAAAAAAAGUAUAUCCAAGAAACUGGUGUUUAUUCACCUCGGCGACACGUUAGAAUCACCUGCGCAAUUUUAAAAAGUCGCAACGCCUACGCUGCACUGGCCCCAUUCAAUCAGAGUCUCUAGAGGAUGGAACUCUGGCAUCCCUAGUCAUUUAAAGAUCCCCAGGUGGUUCCAAUUGCAGCCAAAGCCCCAAACCCCACUUCCUGCGACCUUCCAAAGAUGGCGGAAGAUCUGGCCGCUUCCGCUUUUAGGUGCGCCGCCAGGGGGCGGGCUUCCCGCGCGCGUGCGGCUUCCGUCUUUUCGUCCCCUGUUCCCUCCUCCGGUUUCCCCCGCCUCCAUUUUGUUCGCGGACGCUGGGGACGGUGGGAGCAGAUCCAUUUCCGGGUUGGCAAAAAGGGAGGCGGCGGUGAGAAAGAGAGGCCGCCCGGGGGCUAGCGGGAUAAGACGAGAGCAGAGCAGAGGUGGUGGAGGAUUCGCUCCCGGAGCAGCUGUGACCAGGUCGGAAGGAGGCUGGGGCGGCUGGGGUCCGGCGCUGAGGUAUAUGAGUGACCUAAGGCUGCAGGGGGAGACGGAGAGAGAGCAGUGCCAACUGGGAGCAGGGCAAGGAUGCCAAUCCCGCCGCCCCCGCCGCCCCCGCCUGGCCCCCCGCCCCCCACUUUUAAUCAGGUGGGUGGUCCUCCGCCAGGCGCCUCUGCCUGUGGAAGCAGGCCCUUGGUCUCACUGCCUGCUUUGGCCAAAGCUUGCAGGUGUUCCUGCCAUUCUGAGCUCCAGGGUCGCGGGGCUUCAGUGCUCGUAUUGUCGGCUGCUUAGCUGUUCACUGCACGGACAGCGCCCUCGUGGCCUGCUCGCGUGGUGAGUGUCCCUGCCCUGGCUGGUCCCACACCGUGGGUGCCCAGCCUUGGCCUGACUGGGCCAUGCUGGGUGAGGAGGAGGAGCCUUGGGCAAAACAUAUGAUACACAGUUCACGUGUAACUAGUGGACCG